AGAGUUUGAUCCUGGCUCAGAGUGAACGCUGGCGGCGUGCCUAACACAUGCAAGUCGCACGAGAACGCUUCAGCUUGCUGAAGUUAGUAAAGUGGCGCACGGGUGAGUAACGCGUGGGUAACCCACCUCCGAAUUGGGGAUAACAUUGCGAAAGCGAUGCUAAUACCGAAUAAUAUCUUUAGUACUUCGGUGCUUUAGAUCAAAGAUGGCCUCUCCAUGGAAGCUAUCGUUUGGGGACGGGCCCGCGUACCAUUAGCUUGUUGGUAGGGUAACGGCCUACCAAGGCUGCGAUGGUUAGCUGGUCUGAGAGGAUGAUCAGCCACACUGGAACUGACACACGGUCCAGACUCCUACGGGAGGCAGCAGUGAGGAAUUUUGCGCAAUGGGGGAAACCCUGACGCAGCAACGCCGCGUGAGUGAUGAAGGCUUUCGGGUCGUAAAGCUCUGUCAAGUGGGAAGAACUCCCGUGAGGUUAAUACCCUCAUGGUUUGACGGUACCACUGAAGGAAGCACCGGCUAACUCCGUGCCAGCAGCCGCGGUAAUACGGGGGGUGCAAGCGUUAUUCGGAUUUACUGGGCGUAAAGCGCGCGUAGGCGGCCGUUUAAGUCAGAUGUGAAAGCCCGGGGCUCAACCCCGGAAGUGCAUUUGAUACUAUUCGGCUUGAGUAUGGGAGAGGGAAGUGGAAUUCCUGGUGUAGAGGUGAAAUUCGUAGAUAUCAGGAGG
rnacentral:rRNA from 1 species